rnacentral:rRNA from 1 species
UACAGAGGGUGCGAACGUUGCUCGGAAUUACUGGGCGUAAAGCGCGUGUAGGCGGAGCGAUAAGUCGGAAGUGAAAUCCCCGGGCUCAACCCGGGAACUGCGUCCGAUACUGGAAGGCUUGAAUCCGGGAGAGGGAUGCGGAAUUCCAGGUGUAGCGGUGAAAUGCGUAGAUAUCUGGAGGAACACCGGUGGCGAAGGCGGCAUCCUGGACCGGCAUUGACGCUGAGGCGCGAAAGCCAGGGGAGCAAAGCGGG